rnacentral:rRNA from 1 species
GACGAACGCUGGCGGCGUGCCUAAUACAUGCAAGUAGGACGCAGUUGCGAACGGGGGAGUAACGCGUAGGUAACUACAUAUUAGAGGGGGAUAACCAUAGGAAACGCUAGACAAUACCGCAUCAUAGUAAAUGGACCUGUGUUGUAUUAGCUAGUAGGUAGGGUAAUGGGUUACCUAGGCAACGAUACAUAGCCGAGCUGAAGGGGUGAUCGACCACACUGGGACAUGGACACGGCCCAGACUCAUACAGGAGGCAGCAGUAGGGAAUCUUCGGCAAUGGGGUGAACCCUGACCGGGCAACGCGGCGAGAGUGAAGAGGGUUUUCGGGUCGUAAAGCUUUGUUGUUAAGGAAGCAGUACUUAACCAGAAAGGAACGGCUAACUACGUGCCAGCAGCCGCGCUAAUUC